rnacentral:tRNA from 1 species
GGGGGUAUAGCUCAGUGGUAGAGCAUAUGCCUAGCAUUCACAAGGUCCUGGGUCCAUCCCCAGUACCUCCA